ensembl:rRNA 5S_rRNA 5S ribosomal RNA
GUCUACGGCCAUACCACCCUGAACGCGCCCGAUCUCGUCUGAUCUCGGAAGCUAAGCAGGGUUGGGCCUGGUUAGUACUUGGAUGGGAGAAAGCCCUUACCAUUAACA